rnacentral:rRNA from 1 species
UACGAAGGGGCAAGCGUUGUUCGGAAUUAUUGGGCGUAAAGGGAGCGUAGGCGGUUCGGACAAGUCUUUAGUGAAAUCUCUGGGCUCAACUCAGAGUCUGCUGGAGAAACUGCCGGGCUGGAGUAUGGGAGAGGUGAGUGGAAUUCCGGUGUAGCGGUGAAAUGCGUAGAUAUCGGAGGAACACCUGUGGCGAAGGCGGUUCU